CAGAAGCUGGUUUCCUAUGGUGGUUUAGAUGUGUGUUCCCUGUUCUAGCACCAUAUGAAAUCAGUGUUGU
rfam:Salmo salar isolate Sally breed double haploid chromosome ssa10, whole genome shotgun sequence.